AUUGAACGCUGGCGGCAUGCCUUACACAUGCAAGUCGAACGGCAGCACGGGAGCAAUCCUGGUGGCGAGUGGCGAACGGGUGAGUAAAGUAUCGGAACGUGCCCAGUCGUGGGGGAUAACGUAGCGAAAGUUACGCUAAUACCGCAUACGAUCUAUGGAUGAAAGCGGGGGAUCGCAAGACCUCGCGCGAUUGGAGCGGCCGAUAUCAGAUUAGGUAGUUGGUGGGGUAAAGGCUCACCAAGCCGACGAUCUGUAGCUGGUCUGAGAGGACGACCAGCCACACUGGGACUGAGACACGGCCCAGACUCCUACGGGAGGCAGCAGUGGGGAAUUUUGGACAAUGGGCGAAAGCCUGAUCCAGCCAAGCCGCGUGCAGGAUGAAGGCCUUCGGGUUGUAAACUGCUUUUGUACGGAACGAAAAGGUUUGGGCCAAUAAGCUGAGCUCAUGACGGUACCGUAAGAAUAAGCACCGGCUAACUACGUGCCAGCCGCCGCAGUAA
rnacentral:rRNA from 1 species